rnacentral:lncRNA from 1 species
UACAACACAAAUUCUCUUGUCAAUCUCGAUCCUGUUAAUAAGCACAAACAAAUAUCACGGUUGCAUUAGAUUAUCUAGAUGGACAAGUACAUGACGGCGCCACUCCUGUUUUCUCUACUUCUUUUUGUAUGCCUUGCUACGACGACACAAUGUAAGUGUUUGAUACACAACUCUACUUCUGCUAAUCUUUCUUUACAAUUAUGUGCUUGCAUAGGUUAAUUAUACUCAUGUAAUAAUUUAAUUUUUAUGUUUAUCCUGGAAGUUGGUAUUUUGUUAGCGCAUGACACCUGUUUUUUUUCAUUCUUGUGCCAUCUGGUCCUUUGUUAAUCAAUAGGAAAUCAUACUAAUAUCAAUUAUUUGUCUGUACAUUUUUUAUAGGUCAAAUCACCAACAGCAUGGAUAAUGAUAAGAUCAAUUUACCAAGCGGGUUGUGCGUAUAUAGAAAAGAUGUUCAGCUCUAUUGUUGCCUUGUGUCGAAGUUAUGCUAUAACCCACUAGAACUAUGCGUUGAAGGUUGCAAAAGUUGACUCCUAUCAAAUUGACCUUUUAUUCGAAGAAGUAAUAUGUAAUGCGGAAGUCAUAUUUGAAAUAAAGAGUAGUAGAUUUGUUGUCAUCUGAUGGGUCAGUCCUGUUGCAAGUAAACUCUCG